UCCAGACUCCUACGGGAGGCAGCAGUGGGGAAUAUUGGGCAAUGGGCGCAAGCCUGACCCAGCAACGCCGCGUGAAGGAAGAAGGCUUUCGGGUUGUAAACUUCUUUUGUCAGGGAAGAGUAGAAGACGGUACCUGACGAAUAAGCCACGGCUAACUACGUGCCAGCAGCCGCGGUAAUACGUAGGUGGCAGGCGUUGUCCGGAUUUACUGGGUGUAAAGGGCGUGUAGCCGGGUUGACAAGUCAGAUGUGAAAUCCUGCGGCUUAACCGCAGAACUGCAUUUGAAACUGUUGAUCUUGAGUACUGGAGAGGCAGACGGAAUUCCUAGUGUAGCGGUGAAAUGCGUAGAUAUUAGGAGGAACACCAGUGGCGAAGGCGGAUGACUGGACGGCAACUGACGGUGAGGCGCGAAAGCGUGGGGAGCAAACAGGAUUAGAUACCCUUGUAAC
rnacentral:rRNA from 1 species